AUUGAACGCUGGCGGCAGGCUUAACACAUGCAAGUCGAGCGGUAGCACAGGGGAGCUUGCUCCCUGGGUGACGAGCGGCGGACGGGUGAGUAAUGUCUGGGAAACUGCCUGAUGGAGGGGGAUAACUACUGGAAACGGUAGCUAAUACCGCAUAACGUCGCAAGACCAAAGAGGGGGACCUUCGGGCCUCUUGCCAUCAGAUGUGCCCAGAUGGGAUUAGCUAGUAGGUGGGGUAAUGGCUCACCUAGGCGACGAUCCCUAGCUGGUCUGAGAGGAUGACCAGCCACACUGGAACUGAGACACGGUCCAGACUCCUACGGGAGGCAGCAGUGGGGAAUAUUGCACAAAGGGCGCAAGCCUGAUGCAGCCAUGCCGCGUGUGUGAAGAAGGCCUUCGGGUUGUAAAGCACUUUCAGCGGGGAGGAAGGUGGUGAGCUUAAUACGUUCAUCAAUUGACGUUACUCGCAGAAGAAGCACCGGCUAACUCCGUG
rnacentral:rRNA from 1 species